AAAUUUUACUGCAGUGCUUGUUUUGGCAGUAAAAUUGGUAUGACACAGAGAAGAUUAGCAUGGCCUCUGUGCAAGGAUGACAUGCAAAUUCAUGAAGUAUUCCAUAUUCUA